rnacentral:rRNA from 1 species
UACGUAGGGUGCAAGCGUUAAUCGGAAUUACUGGGCGUAAAGCGUGCGCAGGCGGUUAUAUAAGACAGUUGUGAAAUCCCCGGGCUCAACCUGGGAACUGCAUCUGUGACUGUAUAGCUAGAGUACGGUAGAGGGGGAUGGAAUUCCGCGUGUAGCAGUGAAAUGCGUAGAUAUGCGGAGGAACACCGAUGGCGAAGGCANCCCCUGGGUACGCACUGACGCUCAUGCACGAAAGCGUGGGGAGCAAACAGGAUUAGAACC